rnacentral:misc_RNA from 1 species
GAUGAAGAACGCAGCGAAAUGUUACUUGGUGUGAAUUGCAGAAUCCCGUGAACCAUCGAGUCUUUGAACGCAAGUUGCGCCCGAAGCCAUCAGGUUGAGGGCACGUCUGCCUGGGCGUCACAUAUCGUUGCCCAAUGCCUAUUGCAGUGCAAUAGGAAUUUCUAGGGCGAAUGAUGGCUUCCCGUGAGCGUUGUUGCCUCGCGGUUGGUUGAAAAUCGAGUCCUUGGUAGGGUGUGCCAUGGUAGAUGGUGGUCGAGUUAGAACGAUACCGAUCAUGUGCAUGCUCCCCAAAAUAUGGCCUCUAUGACCCACACGCGUCUUUUGACGCUCAUGACGAGACCUCAGGUCAGGCGGGGCUACCCGCUGAAUUUAAGCAUAUCAAUAAGCGGAGGA